rnacentral:pre_miRNA from 1 species
GUGGGUAGAAGGAAUCUACUUUAUUCAGCACACUAACCUAAUUUCCGAGACAUGUUACAUACCUGAAACAUGUCUUAGAAAUUAUAGUUUUUCUUGGUUUGUGUGCUGAACAAAGUAGAUUCCUUGUACCCA